GAUGAACGCUAGCGGCAGGCUUAAUACAUGCAAGUCGAACGGUAAGUUUGGUAGCAAUAUCAAACCAAGAGUGACGUACGGGUGCGUAACACGUAUGCAACCUACCUUGUACAGGAGUAUAGCUCGGGGAAACUCGAAUUAACCCUCCAUGAGAUCACAGUGUGGCAUCACACAGUGAUUAAAACUCAGGUGGUACAAGAUGGGCAUGCGUCUGAUAGUUAGUUGGCGGGGUAAUGGCCCACCAAGACGAUGAUCAGUAGGGGACCUGAGAGGGUGAUCCCCC
rnacentral:rRNA from 1 species